rnacentral:rRNA from 1 species
GACGGAGGAUGCAAGCGUUAUCCGGAAUGAUUGGGCGUGAAGCGUCUGCAGGUGGCAGUUCAAGUCUGCUGUCAAAGACCGGGGCUUAACUUCGGAAAGGCAGUGGAAACUGAACAGCUAGAGUAUGGUAGGGGCAGAGGGAAUUCCUGGUGUAGCGGUGAAAUGCGUAGAGAUCAGGAAGAACAUCGGUGGCGAAGGCGCUCUGCUGGACCAUAACUGACACUCAGGGACGAAAGCUAGGGGAGCGAAUGGG